GAGAUGCCCCCUGCACGGACCGUUGCUCGUGGGCUCAACAAGGUGGCAGAAAGCAACUCAAAGAAUGAAAAGGCGUGACUUCUGGAGCCUCGGGAGACUCACGUGCGAUGUUCCUUGGACACAAUCCUCCUGCCUUCCACGGCGGUGGCGGUCUCGCUCUGUAGCCGCCACCUUUCUUAAGGCAGGUAGAGAAAAGCCUGGCAGCUAGAUGCCGUUUGAACCAGGGGGAGGUCUUCCUGCCGAGAACGCUCAACUGUCACAAUA
ensembl:snoRNA